rnacentral:rRNA from 1 species
CCUACGGGUGGCAGCAGUAGGGAAUAUUGCUCAAUGGGGGAAACCCUGAAGCAGCAACGCCGCGUGGAGGAUGAAGGUUUUCGGAUUGUAAACUCCUUUUGUUAGAGAAGAUAAUGACGGUAUCUAACGAAUAAGCACCGGCUAACUCCGUGCCAGCAACCGCGGUACAACGGAGGGUGCAAGCGUUACUCGGAAUUACUGGGCGUAAAGAGCGUGUAGGCGGGAUAGCAAGUCAGAUGUGAAAUCCGAUGGCUUAACCAUAGAACUGCAUUUGAAACUGUUAUUCGAGAGUAUGGGAGAGGUAGGUGGAAUGCGUGGUGUAGGGGUAAAAUCCGUAGAGAUCAAGAGGAAUACUCAUUGCGAAGGCGACCUGCUGGAACAUAACUGACGCUGAUGCGCGAAAGCGUGGGGAGCAAACAGGAUUAGAUACCCCAGUAGUC